AUAUGCCUACAUCAUAGUGUUAAUGCACCAUAUCCCAUUCGAACUUUGCAGUUAAUUGCACUUAGGCUAGAGUAGUAUUGGGAUGGGUGACCGCCCGGGAAGUCCUAGUGUUUUACAUGCC
rnacentral:rRNA from 1 species